rnacentral:rRNA from 1 species
GGCGGGGGGCAGCUACACAUGCAGUCGAGCGAGAACUUCGGUUCUAGCGGCGGACGGGUUAGUAACGCGUGGGAACGUGCCCUUCACUACGGAAUAGUCCCGGGAAACUGGGUUUAAUACCGUAUACGCCCUUCGGGGGAAAGAAUUUCGGUGAAGGAUCGGCCCGCGUUAGAUUAGAUAGUUGGUGGGGUAACGGCCUACCAAGUCUACGAUCUAUAGCUGGUUUUAGAGGAUGAUCAGCAACACUGGGACUGAGACACGGCCCAGACUCCUACGGGAGGCAGCAGUGGGGAAUCUUAGACAAUGGGCGCAAGCCUGAUCUAGCCAUGCCGCGUGAGUGAUGAAGGCCUUAGGGUCGUAAAGCUCUUUCGCCAGGGAUGAUAAUGACAGUACCUGGUAAAGAAACCCCGGCUAACUCCGUGCCAGCAGCCGCGGUAAUACGGAGGGGGUUAGCGUUGUUCGGAAUUACUGGGCGUAAAGCGCGCGUAGGCGGAUUGGAAAGUUGGGGGUGAAAUCCCAGGGCUCAACCCUGGAACUGCCUCCAAAACUAUCAGUCUAGAGUUCGAGAGAGGUGAGUGGAACUCCGAGUGUAGAGGUGAAAUUCGUAGAUAUUCGGAAGAACACCAGUGGCGAAGGCGGCUCACUGGCUCGAUACUGACGCUGAGGUGCGAAAGUGUGGGGAGCAAACAGGAUUAGAUACCCUGGUAGUC